AUAGUAAUCGUUUUCCUUGGCAACAAAGCAGGCCGAAAGCUGCUUUGUUGUGUUAAAAAUGUUAAGUGGUGACCCAGGCUGGACUCACAGUAGCAAAAUGGACCGACCUGCAGCUCCCCCGCCCCGGCCACAAAGCAAACCGCGCCCCUUGGGCCGCGGAUGCUGGCGGACAUCCGGAGCUUGGUCCGGUCACUGGAGGGGCUGGUGGCGGAACCCGCCCUGACGCUUCUGCCGAAGCUUUCAGCAGGCUGAUUGGAUAACGAGCAAGACUGGAGCAGAGAGAGAGAGAAAACUUUUUGUCUGCCGGUUUACAAGAAAUUGGUCAGUGAAGGAUAGCUGUCAAGACAAUGGACAUUAUCAACGUCAAUGCCUUACCAAUAAUUCCAUUGGACGAGCGCCUGGUGGUCUCCGCCAACGUUCGGACAGUGCUGGAGGAUGCCUUGAGAAAGCGGAUGCAGGGGAGUCCACCCAUCUGUCUCUCAGCAUGCAUCAUUGGCUCCAUGAGCCAGGUGAAUCAGAGGAUUAUGGAAGUAGAACUGGGCUCCAGCCUGAUGAUCAGCACCUUGGCAAUUGAAGACUAUGAGUUGGAGAAGAAGUCUUUAAGAGAGAAAACUCACGGCAGCCCAGGAGACAAAGUCAAGAAACAGAAGGAAGAGCCACCGAUAUCUUGCCAAGGCUCAGAGCUCCGGAAUGCCAGAGUGCUUCCCACAAAAAGGAAAACAGCAGAUAAGAAUCUGCUCGCAGAGCUGCACGAACACCCCCCGUUUGAUGAAAUGAAGCCCAAUAAACUGCCCAAUGGUGUGGACUUCUGUGACAUGGUGGGCAAUGUGAUCCGGUCUGAGAAAAAUCCCCUGAGCGGCAAGUCUUACUGUUCAGACAGGGAACUAGAGAAGUUUCUGUGCUCGCCUUUUCUCGCCGCCAUGUGGCUGGACAGCUUUUGGUGGCUAUUUCAUGAGAGGUACCAGCCAGACAAGGAGAUCCAGAAAAAGCUGUUCGACCGAAUAGCCCGAAAUUACGCCUCCCUGUUGUUCAAAAUGUGUCGGUCCCAUUAUGAAGAGGCACUCUUAAAGAGGCUCUCGUCACUUCUGAGCAAAGCCAUGUACACCAGCUUCUGCUGCUGCUUCCCCCAGUCCUGGUUCAACACCCACGAAUUCAAGUCAGAGAUCUGUAACACCAUGAACCUGUGGGUUUCAGGGAUGUAUCCUUGCCUACAGAGCUAUAACAAUUGGGACUACUCAGAACUGGAUCCAGAGAGGUUCCGGCAAGAAGAAUUAAUGUUACAGAGCAGUCGACUUCUGAAGGCAAGAGAGUUCACCCUCUUCACUUGUAAGAAAUCCUCCAUUCAGCAGAUAGAACAGAAGCACACGAAGUUCCAUAACCUUGUGGGUCUCCUGAAGGCUUCUCAUUCAAAGGUAAUGAAGGAAAAAGAACUUUCAAAUAAGACUACAGAGGAAAGCUAUAGGUGCCGCGGCAUGAAAGUCCCACCCUGCCUGCAAAAGCCCAGAGCUGACUUCAAACCAGUUCAACCUUUAUGGAAGGAGCCCGCUCAUGACGUACUUCUUCCUCAACUACUCCCAGUUGCAGCUGACUGGUCAGGACCUGCUGGUCAGCAGGAGAGAAAAGACGGAAAUCAUCCCAUAUCCUUGUCAGCAGCUGCCUCUUUGCAGAAGCAGGGCUUGGGGAGAAGCAUCCAGGCUUUGGUGCAUAGCCUGCCACGCACUGGGUACUUGGUAGGAACAGCUGUGGUAUGUACCUCACGGAUAGAGAGCUGUGCUUAUGCUCAGGGGAGCCUCACAUUUAGGCCUUAUGUACUGGCCAGGAGACGCUGACCAUGUCCCCAUGGACAGAGUCACCUCUUUCUCAUUGUCCAGCAUGAGCUUAGGCAUCAUACACUCCCUGGUCCUCCCGGCCCAAGAGAGUGGGACCAUCAAUUUUGGUGUCCUCUGCACACUUUCCUCCCCAGCUGCCUUUGGAGUUGGUAUAAAACUCAGCUCUUGGGAAACAGGUCCAACAUGUGUUGGUUUGCAGCAUGUGUUGGUAUGUUGAGCCUUAGCAACAUGCCUAGGGGUCAGAACAUGGGUUCUACUGGGAGUCAGUUUGCUCUGUUUGACUUAAAUAGCCCAGACUCUGAAACUAAUACUAACCACUAGUGAGAUGUUAGAAAGGUUCCAGUUUUUCUGUGGGCAAUUUUUACCUCGUCUGUAAAAUCAGAAUAAGGAUUGCCCUGUUGGGGGUGCUUUUUGUUUGAUUUUAUUAUUGUUUGGACCUUUUGUUGUUGUUGUUGUUUAUUUGUUUGUCCCACUGUGUAGCCCCGGCUGGCCUGGAACUUACUAUGUAGAGCAGACUGGUCUCAAAUUCACAGAGCUCCACCUGCCUCUUUAUUCUGAGUGCUGUGAUUUAAGACUUGUGCCACCAGGCCCAGCUUCAGGGGCUAUUUUGCAGAUUGCCUCCCAGGGCAGUGGAGGUAAGAGUGCUCAGGACAUGCCUGCUACUCCGUUGCCUUUGCUGGCUCAUAGGCAGGAAGGCCACCAGGAGGCCCUUUUUGUCUCCUGUCCCUAGAGUUUUGUGUCGCAGAUUUCUGAAAGCAGACCACCUACCUCUGGGCAACAUGGUCCAAAUUGUCCCUGGCGUCACCCUGUUCUCGAGGUCACUGGGCUCCAGAGAUGGCCUCCGGCUGGGGUGUACAAACCUUAAAAGCUCUACCCUGCAAGCUCCCAAAGUGGAGAUGGUUCUACCAAGCUGGUAAUGUGACUGAGUGGUGUAUAACAGGCACUGUAUGAAGAACUGGCAUUGUGGUUGUCACCAUCCUCUACAGAAGUGCUUCUCAGCCUUCCUAAUGCUGCAGCCCUUUAAUACAGUCAGUUCCUAGUGCUGUGGUGACCUCAACCAUAAAAUUAUUUCAUUACUAUUUCAUAACUGUACUUUUGCUACUGUUAUGAAUUGUAAUGUAAAUGUGUUUUCCCAUGGCCUUACGCGGCCCCUGUGAAAGGGUCAUCUGACACCCCUCCAAAGGAGUCAAUGCCCGUAGGUUGAGUAUCGGUGCUCUAAAGGAAGGCUUCUUUUCUUUUCGGGAGGUCCUUGAGAUAGGGUCUCAGAGUUUAGCUGAGGCUGGCCUCAGACUCAGGGUAAUGGCUGCCUUAGCUGUGAGUGCUGAGGUUACAGGUGUGAGUCACUAGACCUGGCUUUUAGUCCCUUUCAUAGAUAAAUGGGGACAAAGAGGGUGACAGUGGCCAUCCCACAGCUUGUCGCAAAUGCAGCUGAGAUUCUAACCACGGGUGGAGGUGGAGAGAGGACAAAGGUGUUUGUUGGUUUGUCUGUUUGCCUUGUGUUCUGAGACAGUGUCUGGUCCGCUCUGGCUUCCCUGGAAUUCCCUGUGUCCUUGAACUUGAUCAUCCUAACUCCAUCUCCCAAAUGCUAGGAUCCCAGGUGCGUGUCAUCGCACCUGAAAUGGACAACAUAGCCGAGUGCGGCUGUGUGUGCCUAUAACACCCGCCCUUGGGAGGCUGAGGCAGGAAGCUUACAAUGAACUUGAGACUGCACAGCCAAGCCCUGUUUAAAAACAAAAACAAAAACAAGAACAAAACAACAACAACAACAACAAAAACCAACCCAAAUCCAGCUGGGCUUGAUGGUCCAAGCCUUUAAUCCCAGCACCCAGGGGGCAGAAGCAGGUGUAUUUCUGUGAGUUCAAAGCCAGCAAGAGUUAAGACUGUCUCAAAAACCAAACCAAAACCCAAACCAGAAAACAAAAAUGAUUUAUCAGGCUGUCAAGGGGAGAGAUGUUGGAGCCCCUUUCUCUUUGUCAUUAUGGUAACAGACUCCAAGCCCAGACUGUUAAACAGGGCCCAGAACUAUUAUUAUGGGCAGUGAUUUGUAGAAAGAUCACGGUGAUGUUGGGGAACCCCUUGGGAACAACACGGCACUCCUGCCAGGGCACCAUCUUUCUCCCUCAGAGAGUCUAAGGAAGUAUUAUCUGGCUCGAUACCCUGGACAGAGCCAAAGGGGGCUUAAGGACAGGGUGGACACCCUGCCCAGCCAUAGUGGUACAGCCUUUCUCCUUCCCCGGCUGGCCAUCGCCAGUCUGAGAAGACCACUGCCUGUGUGGAUUUUGGGUGCCUCCUCCAGAACUCCAGAGCACCAAACGUCAUCCUUUGCGUCGUCCAUGCUCUCCUUGCCAUGGCCGCUACAACCUAGGGCAGGCAGCACAGUGGACCUUUCCUUGACAGCAGAGUGCACUGACUCUGCCAUGACCUACGCUGACAUCAUCCAGUUGGUCACAAAGAACAUGGAGAUUCGAAAGAAAAAGCUCCGGCAGCUGGACCAGAUGCACGAGAACGAGUGGAACUGUUUUAACAAUUACCUAACGGAGCUGCAAGAAAACUUUGAGAGGGAGUUGGAAAUCAUCAAUAAGAAAGAACGAGAGAAGAGAAAGGACAAGAACAGGGUCGUCUCCUCCACGUCGCUGUUUGAAUCGUCUGGCAAGAAAUCCAAGGGAAACAAGCAAAGAGAAACUGCCUUUCUUUCAAGGAAGAAAAAGAAGGAGGUAGAAGAGAGACCAAAAGGUUUCUAUUCUCCUUUCUCAUUUCAAAACUCUAUGGAUGUGGAUAACAAUUCCCUGGGCCUAAAAAGCCCCUACAGAAUCAAGUCUCCUUCCAGUGAGGGCAGCAGCAGUAUCUCCACAAUCAAGCAGGACAUGCUCUUCCAGCUCUCACCCUCCUCCAUGGAAUGAACUUGCCCAAGAACAGGAGGAGACUGCGGAGGUGACCCUCCUGUCUUUGAUCAGAUGCGGUAGAAAGCGGAUUCAGCAAUGGCAACUGAGAGCUCUGAUGCAGCCAGUGAUGCAUGGAGCCUCUCCCAGUCCACAGGAGAAAGAAUAUUAAAGUUCACACCUCCCACGGACCAUUCAGGGCUCAUCCAUCAGACAUUUAUUUGAUUUGUUCUUUCAUUCACUUGAUAAUAACAACCCAGCCCAACACAUCCUUAUGAAACAUAGCAAGACCCUGUCUCAAAAAACAAGCCAACACCACGUAUCAGAAGGGAGCUGAGCUGCUAAGUCCCAGCUGUCUUUAGGCCCAGCAUGCUGUAGUCAGGGGCAGGUGGAUCUCUGAGUUCGAGGCUAGUCAUUCCUACAUGUUUGUUAACACAUGUGGCACACACUUAUUUGGGGCUUACUCAUCUUUUCAUCUAUAUUAAGUUAGAUAUUAACACUUAACAUUUAUUUACAUGUGUUUGGUUUACUUUUUGGAUUUUUUGUUUGUUUGUUUCGAGACAGGGUUUUUCUCUGUAGCCCUGGCUGUCCUGGAACUCACUUUAUAGACCAGGCUGGCCUCGAACUCAGAAAUCUGCUUGCCUCUGCCACCCAAAUGCUAGGAUUUAAGGUGCCACCACUGCCCAGCUUAAUUUUUUUUUUAUUUGCCUGUUUGCAGUACUAGAUAUUUGAAUCUAGGGCCUUGCCUAUGCUAGGAAACCAUUCCUUUCUGUUUGAGGAUCUUGCUGAGUUUUCCGGGAUGCCCGUGUGAAUCUCCUACCUUACUCACUGGGCCCAGCUGCCUCUACAUGGUCUAGGGGUGCUCAUAAAAGCAAAGUAAAGCUGGGCGUGGUAGGGCACACCUUUAAUCCCAGCACUCGGGAGACAGAGGCAGGCGGAUUUCUGAGUUCGAGGCCAGCCUGGUCUUUAAAGUGAGUUCCAGGACAACAGCCAGGACUACACAGAGAAACCCUGUCUCAAAAAAACGAAAAAAAAAAAAAAAAAAAAAAAGCAAAGUAAAGCAGUGGAAAUGAGUUUGAGCCUACAUAUUUAUAUCCCUUUAGUCCUGCAUCUCUUUGUAUUAAUUGUCUGAAGUAUGUCACCCCUCUGAGCCUACAGGCUUUUCCAGAGCUGUAAAACAGCACACUUCUUUCCUGGGAAUUGCUACAACCAAACAUUUCCAGGAACCUUAGAUUCCUUUCAAGGUCCCUGAAACUCUGCCUCCUGCCCCCUAAGCCAACUACAGCUAUGGAACUCUACCCUAAGGGAACCUCAGGGAAGAAGGCAGGUAGAGGAUGCUUCACUUGAAUCUCUGGUGAGAGGGGAAACUCCUUAAUAACAGACAUCCUAUGGAAUACGGUGCAUCCAUUUUAAGCUAUGUGGGAGGCACAGGAAGGGCAGAAGUAAGGUUAGGGGUGCGGGUGAGCAGCAGCAUACUGGUUGAGUAUGUCUUUUUGGUUUUGUUAAUGUUUUCAAUAAAAACCAACUGUUUCUAUUUUGA